rnacentral:tRNA from 1 species
GCGGGUAUAGCUCAAUGGUAGAGCAACAGUUUUCCAAACUGAAGAUAAGGGUUCGAUUCCCUUUACCCGCUCCA